UAUCUAACACAAGUCCUUGGCUCGAACAAC
rnacentral:sRNA from 1 species